rnacentral:rRNA from 1 species
AAAUGAAUUGACGGGGGCCCGCACAAGCGGAGGAACAUGUGGUUUAAUUCGAUGAUACGCGAGGAACCUUACCCGGGCUUGAAAUGCAUCUGACGUAUUCGGAAACGGAUAUUCCCUACGGGGCAGAUGUGUAGGUGCUGCAUGGUUGUCGUCAGCUCGUGCCGUGAGGUGUCGGCUUAAGUGCCAUAACGAGCGCAACCCUCAUCGUCAGUUACCAUCAGGUAAAGCUGGGGACUCUGGCGAGACUGCCAUCGUAAGAUGCGAGGAAGGUGGGGAUGACGUCAAAUCAGCACGGCCCUUACGUCCGGGGCGACACACGUGUUACAAUGGGUGGUACAAAGGGCAGCUACCUGGCGACAGGAUGCUAAUCUCCAAAACCACUCUCAGUUCGGAUCGGAGUCUGCAACUCGACUCCGUGAAGCUGGAUUCGCUAGUAAUCGCGCAUCAGCCACGGCGCGGUGAAUACGUUCCCGGGCCUUGUACACACCGCCCGU